UACGUAGGGCGCAAGCGUUAUCUGGAAUUAUUGGGCGUAAAGAGCUCGUAGGCGGUUUGUCGCGUCUGCUGUGAAAACCCGAGGCUCAACCUCGGGCCUGCAGUGGGUACGGGCAGACUAGAGUGGCGGUAGGGGAGAUUGGAAUUCCUGGUGUAGCGGUGGAAUGCGCAGAUAUCAGGAGGAACACCAAUGGCGAAGGCAGAUCUCUGGGCCGUAACUGACGCUGAGGAGCGGAAAGCAUGGGGAGC
rnacentral:rRNA from 1 species